CAGAGUACCUUGUUUAUACAAGGAAAGGGCGGGACCAUGAAAGUGAAAGCGUUCAGUUUGUUCAGUCUCCAUUUUAAGACAGAGCAGACGGAGGAAAAGUGAAGGCUGAGGCAGGUCGUGACUGGCUGAAUAAUUCACAUUAAACCUGCUGAAAUCAAGAAAACAAGCAGAGAUUUAAAGAAACCUGACCAGUCAGUGUUACUGUUUCACCUCUCAGACUGACUGAAGACAGAAGAUGAUUGACUGUGAGGAGGAAGAGGAGGACAGAGCAGAGUCUGCAGUAUCCAGCUGUCUGUCUAUGAAGAGUAACCAGUCCAAAGAUUAUCCUUUAGCCUUCAGAGAUGAACCUGGACCCUCAGACACAAAAGUUCAGUCCAACAGACAGAGAGCAGAGUCUCCAGUAUCCAGCUGUCUGUC